rnacentral:rRNA from 1 species
UAACUGAAGAGUUUGAUCAUGGCUCAGAUUGAACGCUGGCGGCAGGCUUAACACAUGCAAGUCGAGCGGGGGAAGGUAGCUUGCUACUGGACCUAGCGGCGGACGGGUGAGUAAUGCUUAGGAAUCUGCCUAUUAGUGGGGGACAACAUCUCGAAAGGGAUGCUAAUACCGCAUACGUCCUACGGGAGAAAGCAGGGGAUCUUCGGACCUUGCGCUAAUAGAUGAGCCUAAGUCGGAUUAGCUAGUUGGUGGGGUAAAGGCCUACCAAGGCGACGAUCUGUAGCGGGUCUGAGAGGAUGAUCCGCCACACUGGGACUGAGACACGGCCCAGACUCCUACGGGAGGCAGCAGUGGGGAAUAUUGGACAAUGGGGGGAACCCUGAUCCAGCCAUGCCGCGUGUGUGAAGAAGGCCUUAUGGUUGUAAAGCACUUUAAGCGAGGAGGAGGCUACUUUAGUUAAUACCUAGAGAUAGUGGACGUUACUCGCAGAAUAAGCACCGGCUAACUCUGUGCCAGCAGCCGCGGUAAUACAGAGGGUGCGAGCGUUAAUCGGAUUUACUGGGCGUAAAGCGUGCGUAGGCGGCUUAUUAAGUCGGAUGUGAAAUCCCCGAGCUUAACU